rnacentral:ncRNA from 1 species
CCUGUCACAACGGCUUCCUGGCGUGGCAGGCGAACCCCAAUGGAGCA